rnacentral:RNase_P_RNA from 1 species
GCGGAAUUGCAGGCUCUCGCCUGAUCUCAUCUUGAGAUCGGGAGGAAAGUCCGGACUCCAUAUGGCAGCGCAAGGGGUAACGCCCCUCCACCGUAAGGUGAGGACCAGUGGAACAGAGAGAAUGUCCAGAGCAUUGAUCCCUUGGCCGGGAACGGGAGGCCUCGGGGGAGCUGCUGGAGUGAAAACAGCUAAACUCUGCGCGGAGCAAGGCCAAAUAGGGAAACGCAAGAGCGCGGCCAGCGCGAAGUUUCCGGGUAGGUCGCUUAAGGGUGUCAGUAAUGUCACUCUCAGAUGAAUGAAAGCCUCGGCGAGCGGGAAGGCAUCUUUCUUCUCGUCAGACAGAAUCCGGCUUACAGCAAAUCCGCUACG